CCUACGGGGGGCAGCAGUGGGGAAUAUUGCGCAAUGGGCGAAAGCCUGACGCAGCGACGCCGCGUGAGGGAUGAAGGUCUUCGGAUCGUAAACCUCUGUCAGCAGGGAAGAACGGUCACGGUGCUAAGCAGCAGUGAAUUGACGGUACCGGCAAAGGAAGCACCGGCUAACUCCGUGCCAGCAGCCGCGGUAAUACGGAGGGUGCGCGCGUUAAUCGGAAUUACUGGGCGUAAAGCGCUCUUAGGCGGUAGGUCCAGUCAAGGGUGAAAUCCCCGCGCUCAACGUGGGAACUGCCUUUGAAACUGGCAACCUGGAGUGUGUGCGAGGUUAGUGGACUUCCAGGUGUAGGCG
rnacentral:rRNA from 1 species